rnacentral:lncRNA from 1 species
CUCAACUACACACCAUGUGUAAGAUUGCUCUGGCACAUCCCUUUUCUGACACUCCUCCAGAAGGAGGCAUGCCUUCACAGACAGAUUUUUGGGAGGCCCAGCUGCUGGUCUGGCACAAGAUGUGCAUUUUUGCAGUACAAAUAUGUGCAGUGACGAUGCUUGAGCUUUCUUGCGUGGCACUUGAAGGGUGUAAACCGACUUGAAUUUAUACUGGAAGGGUGUAAACCAGCAGCAGCAACAGAUGGAUCUAAUACUGGAGAUGCUGUGGGCCUCUGAGGAUGUGUUGGUGCUCUCACCUGCUGCUGGUGACUGCGGGAGUUACCUCACACCUUGUGAGACAUAGGGAAAUGUCCAGGCUCCUAAAAAAAAUACCCCAACAUUAAAACAAUGCAUCAGUUUGUGUUCUGAGCUCCAUAGGGUUUGCAGGACCUUUUGCACUGGUUUCAGUGAGAGAAAUAUCACCCUGCAGGGUGGUGGUUUGCAGGAAGCAGCGUGGCUUGCCCACACACACAGGCAGAGUUUCAAAGGCGAUGCAGAUCAAAGGAAAAGGCUUCAGACAAAGCCACAGCACAGAGUACUAGGCGUGUUAAUAAUUUAGGAACAAUCAAAUGUGAGAAGAGUCAAAUGCAGGCGCUGAAGGAGUCACGGGGCAUUGGCAGCGAGCGCAUCCCAAGGCAGGAGACCGGCACCGAUGCAGGGCAAAGGGCUCUGGUUGCCCGGCUUCCCCUGCUGCCUCACGAUGGAGGUGACAGAUUAUCCUCCCUCUCCGCAGGGCCUGGAAGUGUGACACGUUCAGACUUGAGUGUCUGUGGGAAUAAAAACCUCUCGUUUUGCUGGUUGUGUUUGCAGAGCCUUUGGAAAGUGGCAAUGCUUUGGAUGGCAUAAAGAGACACUGAGCCAGAACGAGCUGGAAUUGAAAGAGCUCUGGGGGAAAAGUGGAGCUUGCCUGGCUUGAGGAUAUUUCUUUUCAAUGCAGAAAGAGACCAACCAAACAGGCGGAGUUUGCUGCGAAGGAAAAGACACCAAAACCUAAUUCAAGUCCUGGCUUCAAAGCCUGGUUCCUUAUCUAAAUGGCAGGACUUUUCAUCACAAGUACAGUCACACAGAGAGAAAUAGAAUAAUAAGAGUGAAAAUGUAUUUAGUGCUUUUAAUACAAUGUUGUCAAUCUGAUUUAUUUCAUCUUGAAUUCCAGCAUCUGGAGCUUUUGUUAAG